UUUUUAAAAAGGUUCUUAAAAGUUUGUUUUAAUAUGAGGAGGUCUGAUGUGAAGAAGGGUCAAGCAUGGGUACCUGGUUUGAACACUGUCAACGAAGAAACCACUUUCAAUGUCAGUUCCAAGUUGGAGAAUUGUUCCUUACAUUGAAAUGAUGUCUUAUUUUUCUUCUGAGAUAAGCUCUUAAGAAUUCUUAUGGAUGCUUCUAAGCAAAGGAAAAAAUACCACCAGGCAUGGAUUUCUGAUUUCAAACCCUAUGCCUGCCCUUAUUAAUAAAAAACUUGCCCCCCAACAAAUAAUACUGAAUUUUAAGUUAAAUGUAUAUAUCCAAAAUACUGAAAACACCCAAAAUCAAGGAGAGAAAAAAACAGAAUUUGUGUUCUCAGUGAAAUAUCUUUAAACCUAUCUGACAAGAACCAAGUCAGAAAAAAAGACUAACAUAACUUUGAGUAAUAUUCAUACAGCUCACUAAGCAUUAUGGAAUAGCAUGCAUUAAUAUUGUACGGUUAUUUUACAUCACCUAUAUCAGAAGGUUCUGACAGACAGCGAAGGCUACUGGUGUAGAAAAAAUCUUACUUCAGAAGAGCAAUAUAAUACAGAUUUCACAGGCACUACAUUUUUAAUAUAUCAGGUAUUAUGCUGGUUUUCUUAUAUUUCUUUCUGUCCUAAAGCUGGCAUUUAUAAUAAUGACCAAAAAGGCAAGGAUUGAAGUAAACGGAAACUAGAUACCAAAGUUGAUAUAUUUCUUUUUUCAGAUUUAUAUUAGUGCAUAGUUCUCAUGCAGAUAAACACUGCUAUGCAUUUACAUUGUUGGAAAGCAGAGUGAAUUGAGCCCCAAGUUGUCACAUUUUUGUAAAUCAUUUUGCCAGCCUGUAAUAGCACCAUGUAAUGGAUUUGCAUUAAACAUUAAAUUGAUUUCAGAAUUGGUGACACAGUAUUCACUACAGUUAAGUGCUAUGGAAUAGCUUCAAUGUUACCUGCUAUAUAUCAAAGCAAUUUUCAUCCCACUGCUUUUUUAUUGGAAAAAAUAAAAGGAAAAUGUACUCGAUACUAAUUAGACUAUUGCACAGCCUUGGACUUGAUGGUGGCAUAGCCGGGUUUUACUGUCAAACAGUAAUACAUGCAUUGACUUCAAGACAAAAUUGGCUUUGUAAGCUUGAUUUAAUGGAAACCUUGCCUGGUAGGCAGAGUUCACUUCAUGAGACCUCCCCCAAUAGAUCUCAUGAAAGAUGAGUUUCUUUUAGGUGCCAUUGAAGCUCUCCUUACAUUUUCAUGCCGGUCGUGGUUUGCAAUGUUUGUUCUAUGGAGGCCUUCUACCAAAGUAAAAUCAUUUUUUUAAAAAAAGAAAGAUAUUUCCAGAGACACAAUGUAAAGUAUAAUAUUAAGUGACAUUUUGUUUAAAAAGAAAAAAAAAACACAAGGAAAAAUACCUGUUUUAUGCCACGUAUCUUGGUUUUUUUGUCUUUUGUUUUGUGUGUGUAUGUAUGUAUGUAUGUGUACAGUAAAUGUUAACACUGUUACUACAAAGCUGCAAAAUAUAUGAACAAAAAGAAAACUGUGAAAGAAAACUAGGUAGAGGAAUUUUACAUAUUCCUGUGGGCUGACUGAAUACUGUGGGGAAAAAAGGUUCUAUUCCUUCACUUUUCAACUCUUAAGAGAAGAGGGAGAGAUCACCAAACAGCCAAGGUAUACUCCCGGUGACUGACGUUAGAUAUCACUAUAUAACAUGGUUAAUAAAUACUUUAUUGCAGGGGUGUGCAGAAUGACAACAAGCUAAAGUCCUAUUUUGAAAAGUGGUCGAAAGAAUAGGAAACUACUAGUGGAGUCAAUUCAUAGAGAGCAGUGUUAUUUUGCAGGGGGCGGACUGAGGAGGGAAAUGGGAGCGGGAGCUGGUGUUGUGUAUCUGGCGGUUUUAAAAGAAAGGAUCAGAAAGAAAAGUUGUUUGCACAAAGAAUAAAAAGCAAUUUUGAAAUGGGGAAUGGACAUGUGAAUCUGAUUCUGAAGUGUGACCCAGGAUUAUUUCUCUAUUGUAGACUGCACACCCCAUGCAGUUGUCUCUCCUCAGAUCUCCAUUCUCUGCUCUACUUUGAGGAAUAAAACUCUGUUUGUUCUCCACACCUGAACAGAUCUGAACUGCUGUGUUUCUGCAUGAUAAUAAGAUGAACCAAAAUUUAAUUUAGUGUCUUUAAUACUUUACAACCCCUGUUGGUAAACACCCUUGACCGCCUACCUAAUGUUUAAAGCCUUUAAAACAAUUUGUUUUAUGAGAUUCCGAUCAGAAUUCCCUAACUUUACCAUCUUCAAACUUAAUACGAUAAAACACCUUCAAAAAUACAGCAUAUCUGCAAUGUCCAUUUACAAUGGUUCUUCAGUAGCCUAUACUUCUCAAGCAUAGGAAUAUGCUAUACUAUUGAGAUAAGGAGAGAGGGGAAAAAAAAUAACUGUAUUUAAAUACAUACAAAAAGGAAACAGGAAAGUUUUCAACUUAAAUCCAGUUCCCAGAGGGGGGAAAAGCAAUUCUAUGAAUGCUGCCUUUAUAACGAACAAUCAGAAAUUCCACUAAGCUAAUUUGACAGAAAUUUUCCUCAUUUAAACAACAUUACAAAAGUCCUGCAUUAUAAAAUAGGGUAGAAUAAAUCAGUGUAAUCAAUAAAACUAUACAACAUACAAAUUACAUCGCUUCUGAGUGGGCAGAUUUGAUUCUCUCUCUCUUUGCGGCCAUGACUACGGCAUGCUCACUAAAAACAACUAACUGCCCAAACUAUUGCUUAGUUUGCUUUGUUUUUGUUUUUUUAAAAAAGGGUGCAAUUUCGUUGUAUAUACAACCAAUUUACUGGUUAUACCUUGGCUUAUAGCAAGGUUCUGACAAAAUGUUUGUCUAGGCUUUUUUCCCCUUCACUGUGAAGCACUGAAAGCUGCUAAUUUUUUUAUUUUUUAUUUUUUAUUAGUGCACAUAUGUUUUAAUAAAGUAAUGCCCUGCUAAGUGCUAUAGGGAAGGCAAAGGAUGCUGGCUAGUGGAUGUGAUACCAUAACACUAACAAUCACACAAUACAACGGAGCAAAUGACUACUCAACCACUUAUUUGACAUAUAUGAAAAUCCAAAACAUUUUUUUUCCUUAAAUAGAGAAUAACCAGUAAACAAUUUUCAGAACUUGGAAGUUUUAAAAACGUGCAUAUAAAAAUGGGCAUUAUAUACUUUUUAUUGAAUGUGGAUUGAUUGCAAUCUGCU
rnacentral:lncRNA from 1 species